GUUCCAUAAUCAAGACCUCUACAAAUACUCAGCCCUGCCACUUCCACGCUGCCAGAUGUUCUGCCCGCUUUGAAUCUGGUCCAUGUCUCCAGUCCCACGUCUCGUCAUCCUGCUACUCUGUCCUGGAUUCCUCACUCUACUACUCCCUUGGAUUCCCCUCCAGGCCUGCUUACCCUGUCUCAACCCCUCUCGCUCCAGCCUCAACCUCCGCACCUGGUUUCCAGCAACCCACCCGAACUACCCCCUGACCUGCACUCCAUCUCCUCCCUGUGUUUCAAUAAAAACCUUGGUUAUUUCA